rnacentral:rRNA from 1 species
AACGAACGCUGGCGGCAGGCUUAACACAUGCAAGUCGAACGGGUGUCGCAAGACAUCAGUGGCAGACGGGUGAGUAACACGUGGGAACCUUCCUAGGGGUACGGAACAACUCAGGGAAACUUGAGCUAAUACCGUAUACGUCCGUAAGGAGAAAGAUUCAUCGCCCCUAGACGGGCCCGCGUCGGAUUAGGUAGUUGGUGGGGUAACGGCCUACCAAGCCUGCGAUCCGUAGCUGAUCUGAGAGGAUGAUCAGCCACACUGGGACUGAGACACGGCCCAGACUCCUACGGGAGGCAGCAGUGGGGAAUCUUGGACAAUGGGCGCAAGCCUGAUCCAGCCAUGCCGCGUGAGUGAAGAAGGCCUUAGGGUUGUAAAGCUCUUUUACCAGGGACGAUAAUGACGGUACCUGGAGAAUAAG